UGGGGAAUAUUGCGCAAUGGGGGGAACCCUGACGCAGCCAUGCCGCGUGAAUGAAGAAGGCCUUCGGGUUGUAAAGUUCUUUCGGUAUUGAGGAAGGUUGAUGUGUUAAUAGCACAUCAAAUUGACGUUAAAUACAGAAGAAGCACCGGCUAACUCCGUGCCAGCAGCCGCGGUAAUACGGAGGGUGCGAGCGUUAAUCGGAAUAACUGGGCGUAAAGGGCACGCAGGCGGUUAUUUAAGUGAGGUGUGAAAGCCCCGGGCUUAACCUGGGAAUUGCAUUUCAGACUGGGUAACUAGAGUACUUUAGGGAGAGGUAGAAUUCCACGUGUAGCGGUGAAAUGCGUAGAGAUGUGGAGGAAUACCGAAGGCGAAGGCAGCCCCUUGGGAAUGUACUGACGCUCAUGUGCGAAAGCGUGGGGAGCAAACAGGAUUAGAUACCCUGGUAGUCCACGCUGUAAACGCUGUCGAUUUGGGGGUUGGGGUUUAACUCUGGCGCCCGUAGCUAACGUGAUAAAUCGACCGCCUGGGGAGUACGGCCGCAAGGUU
rnacentral:rRNA from 1 species